rnacentral:rRNA from 1 species
GAACGCUGGCGGCAGGCCUAACACAUGCAAGUCGAACGGUAACAGGAAACAGCUUGCUGUUUCGCUGACGAGUGGCGGACGGGUGAGUAAUGUCUGGGAAACUGCCUGAUGGAGGGGGAUAACUACUGGAAACGGUAGCUAAUACCGCAUAACGUCGCAAGACCAAAGAGGGGGACCUUCGGGCCUCUUGCCAUCGGAUGUGCCCAGAUGGGAUUAGCUAGUAGGUGGGGUAACGGCUCACCUAGGCGACGAUCCCUAGCUGGUCUGAGAGGAUGACCAGCCACACUGGAACUGAGACACGGUCCAGACUCCUACGGGAGGCAGCAGUGGGGAAUAUUGCACAAUGGGCGCAAGCCUGAUGCAGCCAUGCCGCGUGUAUGAAGAAGGCCUUCGGGUUGUAAAGUACUUUCAGCGGGGAGGAAGGGAGUAAAGUUAAUACCUUUGCUCAUUGACGUUACCCGCAGAAGAAGCACCGGCUAACUCCGUGCCAGCAGCCGCGGUAAUACGGGGGGUGCAAGCGUUAAUCGGAAUUACUGGGCGUAAAGCGCACGCAGGCGGUUUGUUAAGUCAGAUGUGAAAUCCCCGGGCUCAACCUGGGAACUGCAUCUGAUACUGGCAAGCUUGAGUCUCGUAGAGGGGGGUAGAAUUCCAGGUGUAGCGGUGAAAUGCGUAGAGAUCUGGAGGAAUACCGGUGGCGAAGGCGGCCCCCUGGACGAAGACUGACGCUCAGGUGCGAAAGCGUGGGGAGCAAACAGGAUUAGAUACCCUGGUAGUCCACGCCGUAAACGAUGUCGACUUGGAGGUUGUGCCCUUGAGGCGUGGCUUCCGGAGCUAACGCGUUAAGUCGACCGCCUGGGGAGUACGGCCGCAAGGUUAAAACUCAAAUGAAUUGACGGGGGCCCGCACAAGCGGUGGAGCAUGUGGUUUAAUUCGAUGCAACGCGAAGAACCCUACCUGGUCUUGACAUCCACAGAACUUUCCAGAGAUGGAUUGGUGCCUUCGGGAACUGUGAGACAGGUGCUGCAUGGCUGUCGUCAGCUCGUGUUGUGAAAUGUUGGGUUAAGUCCCGCAACGAGCGCAACCCUUAUCCUUUGUUGCCAGCGGUCCGGCCGGGAACUCAAAGGAGACUGCCAGUGAUAAACUGGAGGAAGGUGGGGAUGACGUCAAGUCAUCAUGGCCCUUACGACCAGGGCUACACACGUGCUACAAUGGCGCAUACAAAGAGAAGCGACCUCGCGAGAGCAAGCGGACCUCAUAAAGUGCGUCGUAGUCCGGAUUGGAGUCCGCAACUCGACUCCAUGAAGUCGGAAUCGCUAGUAAUCGUGGAUCAGAAUGCCACGGUGAAUACGUUCCCGGGCCUUGUACACACCGCCCGUCACGCCAUGGGAGUGGGUUGCAAAAGAAGUAGGUAGCUUAACCUUCGGGAGGGCGCUUACCACUUUGUGAUUCAUGACUGGG